UUGGCAACAAAGAGUCUCUGAAAAGAUUUCAAUGCAGCUCAGACAUGGCUAAAUGAAAAGCUGCUUGAGGUAAAUAUCUGCCUUAGUUGCGUCUUCUCUGUGAUGUUCUCUAAUUAUAAGGCAGCCGGGCUGCUGAGUAUGGAAUAUGCAGGCUGCAUCAAACCAGAAAAAGUGGCUAAUCUUUCCACCUCACCUCAGCCGCUCAUGAUGAAGCAACUUUAUCUCACAGACGCUGGAGUUAAGAAAAAAAGAGUGCAGUUAAUUCCUUUACCCAGCCAUGUGAACACAAUCAAGCCUGUUUGAGUUUUGUGGUGAAGAAAGCAGCAAAACUGGAGGUUGGCCGACAGUGUUGCAUCAAGAUUUAGUGUAGCAGAGAGGGGAACAGCUUGUCACAGCUGUUGCUUACUGAGGCCAGAGAGCACGCUGAAGGAGUAAUUCAGGUCUUUGGAGCAGUUUUUUUGAAGUCAACGCUGUGGGUUGAAGUCGAUGAUUCAGGAAAGAGCUUGACGCCUCGAGGAAGUACUAAGACCUGCAAGAAGUACAACAGCUGUCAUAGAAUCUGUCUGCCUGGUAAGACAGUGCUGGACCAAUUUUGGACACACGUUGUGCUCAACUUACCACUACUCAUCUUCCAAAACAGCCAUCAGCAAAUCUUCCACUGAGAUGAUGACAAGCAACACAACAAUAUGGGUAUGGCAGCAAUAGGAAAAUCUGAUUCAGUAAUGGUGCAUAUGGCAAGAAGUGGAGUGUUUCUUUUUAAAGGAGCUCCAUAAACAGAGCCUCUUUUAAAAGAAAACAAACAUGCACCUGCCAAAGAGAUUAAGGGACUGUGCUUAAAGGCAUCUUAUGUUUUUGACUGCAUGAAACUCCCCUGUUACUUUGUUCUGCCUGGGGAUGAUUUAAACACUCUGUGAAGAUUUGAUUUUUAACAUGAGAAUGCUUUGAACUGUCCCUGUUGGUCUCUCCAGGAGACUCCUCCACAUUGCUGUGUUUUUAAGGAAUUUCUUUUUGCCAAGUUGUCAAAGACAGUUGGUUGACAUGUGACAAAGGACAGAUUUAAGCCUCACUAAUGCAGUCACAUGGCAUUCACCUUAGAACACUCAUCCACAAGAAUGCCUGUAUUCAGUUUGUUAAUAUAAUACUAAUGAGUCUGAGUGAACACCAGCAAUUCAUAUCUGUCAGUGCACUCUUAUCUCAGAAACAAUAUGGCUUAGAUUCAGAAUCAUAAUUAUUAACAUGCUAUUAAACUUGCAGACUGUACUAAACUAGAAGCUGUUAUGAUUCCUUGAUGUCUAAAAC